rnacentral:tRNA from 4 species
GCCCUUGUCGUCUAAUGGACAGGACGCGACUUUGCGGAAGUCGUAAUGUAGGUUCGAAUCCUGCCAAGGGCACCA